rnacentral:rRNA from 1 species
GACGAACGCUGGCGGCGUGCUUAACACAUGCAAGUCGAACGGUGAAGCGCCUUCCUUUUUGGUGGGUGUGGAUGAGUGGCGAACGGGUGAGUAACACGUGAGUAACCUGCCCCCUUCUUCUGGAUAACCGCAUGAAAGUGUGGCUAAUACGGGAUAUUCUGGGUCUGUCGCAUGAUGGGUCUGGGAAAGAUAUUGUUUCGGUGGGGGAUGGGCUCGCGGCCUAUCAGCUUGUUGGUGGGGUGAUGGCCUACCAAGGCGGUGACGGGUAGCCGGCCUGAGAGGGUGAACGGUCACACUGGGACUGAGACACGGCCCAGACUCCUACGGGAGGCAGCAGUGGGGAAUAUUGCACAAUGGGCGCAAGCCUGAUGCAGCGACGCCGCGGGAGGGAUGGAGGCCUGCGGGUUGUGAACCUCUUUCGCCAGUGAAGCAGGCCUGCCUCGUUUGUGGGUGGGUUGACGGUAGCUGGAGAAGAAGCGCCGGCUAACUACGUG